ACAGAUGAAGCUUUGGGUAACAAUUUGAUGGGGUUGUUCAGGUGGAGCUAGGCUGUGGUGGCGAGAUAGAAAAACCAUGUAAGAGCCGUACACUACUAUAAACUUGAUUCUUGAAGACAGGACCAUUUCAUUAACGGAUGCUAGAGGGCAAGUUAUUUGGUAUUCGAGUUUGUGGAUGUUCUUAAAAUCAAGCAACAAGUUAGGGUGGCAAAUUGGACUUUACUCUUUUUUUCCUC
rnacentral:lncRNA from 1 species